UGGGGAAUUUUCCGCAAUGGGCGCAAGCCUGACGGAGCAAUACCGCGUGAGGGGGGAAGGCUUUUGGGUUGUAAACCUCUUUUCUCAGGGAAGAAGCUCUGACGGUACCUGAGGAAUCAGCAUCGGCUAACUCCGUGCCAGCAGCCGCGGUAAGACGGAGGGCGCUAGCGUUGUUCGGAAUCACUGGGCGUAAAGGGCGCGUAGGCGGCUGUCUAAGUCGAGGGUGAAAGCCCGGGGCUCAACCUCGGAACGGCCUUCGAGACUGGGCAGCUGGAGACCGGAAGAGGAGGGUGGAAUACCCAGUGUAGAGGUGAAAUUCGUAGAUAUUGGGUGGAACACCAGUGGCGAAAGCGGCUCUCUGGUCCGGUUCUGACGCUGAGGCGCGAAAGCGUGGGGAGCAAACAGGAUUAGAUACCCCUGUAGUAC
rnacentral:rRNA from 1 species